GACAGAGGUGCCGAGCGUUAGGCGGAAUCACUGGGCUUAAAGCGUGUGUAGGCGGGUCCGUAAGUACCUUGUGAAAUCCCAUGGCUCAACCAUGGAACUGCUUGGUAUACUGCGGAUCUUGAGCCACCUAGUGGCAAGUGGAACAAACGGUGGAGCGGUGAAAUGCGUAGAUAUCGUUUGGAACGCCAAUGGUGAAAACAACUUGCUGGGGGUGUGCUGACGCUGAGACACGAAAGCCAGGGGAGCAAACGGG
rnacentral:rRNA from 1 species